AACGAACGCUGGCGGCAUGCCUAACACAUGCAAGUCGAACGAGACCUUCGGGUCUAGUGGCGCACGGGUGCGUAACGCGUGGGAACCUGCCCUUAGGUUCGGAAUAACUCCCCGAAAGGGGUGCUAAUACCGGAUAAUGUCUUCGGACCAAAGAUUUAUCGCCUUUGGAUGGGCCCGCGUUGGAUUAGCUAGUUGGUAGGGUAAUAGCCUACCAAGGCGACGAUCCAUAGCUGGUCUGAGAGGAUGAUCAGCCACACUGGGACUGAGACACGGCCCAGACUCCUACGGGAGGCAGCAGUGGGGAAUAUUGGACAAUGGGCGAAAGCCUGAUCCAGCAAUGCCGCGUGAGUGAUGAAGGCCUUAGGGUUGUAAAGCUCUUUUAACCGGGAUGAUAAUGACAGUACCGGGAGAAUAAGCGCCGGCUAACUACGUG
rnacentral:rRNA from 1 species